GAUGAACGCUAGCUACAGGCUUAACACAUGCAAGUCGCGGGGCAGCAUGGGGGUUGCUUGCAAUCCCCGAUGGCGACCGGCGCACGGGUGAGUAACGCGUAUCCAACCUGCCCUUCACCACGGGAUAACCCGGCGAAAGUCGGACUAAUACCGUAUGUUGUCCAUUGACGGCAUCCGAUUUGGACGAAAGGCUUGGCGGUGAGGGAUGGGGAUGCGUCCGAUUAGCCAGACGGCGGGGUAACGGCCCACCGUGGCUACGAUCGGUAGGGGUUCUGAGAGGAAGGUCCCCCACACUGGAACUGAGACACGGUCCAGACUCCUACGGGAGGCAGCAGUGAGGAAUAUUGGUCAAUGGGCGUAAGCCUGAACCAGCCAAGUAGCGUGCAGGAUGACGGCCCUAUGGGUUGUAAACUGCUUUUAUGCGGGGAUAAAGUGGCCCACGUGUGGGCUUUUGCAGGUACCGCAUGAAUAGGGACCGGCUAAUUCCGUG
rnacentral:rRNA from 1 species